rnacentral:lncRNA from 1 species
GUUAGAUGUAGCAAAUGAUUGUAUACAAGCGGUACAUGUCAUAGUGGACGAUACACGUAAUGUGUCCAACGAUUUGUGUACCACGUUCGACGAUUUAUCCGUCGUGAAUAACGACAUAUGCACAAACGCAUCCAUCAGUACAUGUCACAAUACAAUAAACGAAUUUUACAAAACGACUAAUUUUUUUUUAAAAAAAAUCUUAAAUAUUUGGCUAAAAAAAGAUAAUGAGAAAAAAGGUAUACUAACAGAAACUAUUCGAAACGAAUUAUUUAAAUAUGCGCAAAACUUAAUAGACAUGGAGCUAAAUUAUAUUACUUUUUUUUAUAUAUAUAAUAUAUAUGAUCAUAUAUUUUUUAUAUUACAUUGUGACAAUAUUCAAACUGAAGAGAUAUGUACUAUGUACAUAACAUUAGUUAAAAUAUUUUUUAAUAUUUUAAAAAAUGAACAAAAAAAAUGUGUAAACAAUAAAGAUUUGUUCUCUCAAUAUUUAUUAUAUUUAUUCAUUGUUAAUAUAGAUAAAUUUUUGAAUGAAAACAGUUCAAACUGUUAUGAACAAUACGUCCAUACAUUUCUCAUGCAUGUGUAUAUAGAAAUAAUAACAAAUUUUCAAAGUAUAGAUGAACGUCUUUUUUUCAAUACAUAUUUUAUUAGUUUAAAGGAUAAUAUUAGUGCUAUAUGUGAGAAAACUAGGUCAGACGGUGAUGAGACAGACAUAGAUUUAAAAAAUGAUGACCACAAAAAUACGAAUCAAAAAAAAGCUCUUUUUGUCAAAGAUAAUAUACUAAGGUGUUAUAAACUAUUUAUUGCUAAAAUGUUUAUACUGCAAGAUAUUAUAAGCAUAAUGAACAAAAAAAAAAAAGACAGAAUAGUCCGCAGUAGUAACUGUCGUAAUCAUAGCAAACACAUGGAACAAGAUGGUGCACUGAAAAAUGGAAAUAAUAAUAUAAAUUGUAAAAUAAACAAUAAAAAAAAUAAUUAUACUAAUAAAAAAACAACAGACAAUGACGAUAUCACCACAACAACUGACUUAUGCCACAUUUGUAUUGAUGAAAUAAAAACCAAUGUAACAAACAAAUUUGUGUUGUACAUUUUG